GGACGAACGCUGGCGGCGUACUUAACACAUGCAAGUCGAACGGAGGACUAUUCGGUAGAUCCUUAGUGGCGAACGGGUGAGUAACGCGUGGGCAAUCUGCCCUUCAGAUGGGGACAACAUCCCGAAAGGGGUGCUAAUACCGAAUACGAUCCUUCCACCGCAUGAGGGGGGAUGAAAGAUGGCCUCUAUAUAUAAGCUAUCGCUGAAGGAUGAGCCUGCGUCUGAUUAGCUUGUUGGUGGGGUAACGGCCUACCAAGGCGAUGAUCAGUAGCCGGUCUGAGAGGAUGAACGGCCACAUUGGGACUGAGACACGGCCCAAACUCCUACGGGAGGCAGCAGUGGGGAAUAUUCCGCAAUGGACGAAAGUCUGACGGAGCAACGCCGCGUGAAGUGAUGAAGGUUUUCGGACUGUAAAGCUCUGUUGUUUGGGACGAAAGUGCCUGUUGCGAACAGUUACGGGUAUUGACGGUACUAAACGAGGAAGCCACGGCUAACUACGUGCCAGCCGCCGC
rnacentral:rRNA from 1 species